rnacentral:rRNA from 1 species
UACGUAGGAGACGAGCGUUGUCCGGAGUUACUGGGCGUAAAGGGUGCGCAGGUGGCGGCGCGCGUGGGGGGUGAAAUCGCCCGGCUUAACUGGGCGGGGGCCUUCCAGACGGCGUGGCUUGAGCAGCGGAGGGGGACGUGGAAUUCCGGGUGGAGCGGUGAAAUGCGUAGAUAUCGGGAAGAACACCCGUGGCUAAGGCGGCUCUCUAGUACGGUACUGACGCUGAGACGCGAAAGCGUGGGGAGCGAACAGG